UACGGGGGGAGCAAGCGUUGUUCGGAUUUACUGGGCGUAAAGGGCGCGUAGGCGGCCAGCGCAAGUCAGUUGUGAAAUCUCCGGGCUUAACUCGGAACGGUCAACUGAUACUGCGCGGCUAGAGUGCGGAAGGGGCAGCUGGAAUUCUCGGUGUAGCGGUGAAAUGCGUAGAUAUCGAGAGGAACACCUGCGGCGAAGGCGGGUUGCUGGGCCGACACUGACGCUGAUGCGCGAAAGCCAGGGGAGCGAACGGG
rnacentral:rRNA from 1 species